rnacentral:rRNA from 1 species
GAUGAACGCUGGCGGCGUGCCUAAUACAUGCAAGUCGUGCGAACGGACGAGAAGCUUGCUUCUCUGAUGUUAGCGGCGGACGGGUGAGUAACACGUGGAUAACCUACCUAUAAGACUGGGAUAACUUCGGGAAACCGGAGCUAAUACCGGAUAAUAUUUUGAACCGCAUGGUUCAAAAGUGAAAGACGGUCUUGCUGUCACUUAUAGAUGGAUCCGCGCUGCAUUAGCUAGUUGGUAAGGUAACGGCUUACCAAGGCAACGAUGCAUAGCCGACCUGAGAGGGGGAUCGGCCACACUGGAACUGAAACCCGGCCCAGACCCCCACGGGAGGAAGCGGUAGGGAAUCUUCCGCAAUGGGGGAAAGCCUGACGGAGCAACGCCGGGGGAGGGAUGAAGGCUUUCGGAUCGGAAAACCUUUUUAUUAGGGAAAAAAAUAUGGGUAAGUAACGGUGCAAAUUUUGACGGUACCUAAUCAGAAAGCCACGGCUAACUACGU